rnacentral:rRNA from 1 species
GACGAACGCUGGCGGCGUGCUUAACACAUGCAAGUCGAACGGUAAGGCUCCAGCUUGCUGGGGUACACGAGUGGCGAACGGGUGGGUAACACGUGGGUGACCUGCCCUGCACUUCGGGAUAAGCCUGGGAAACUGGGUCUAAUACCGGAUAGGACCAUGGUGUGGAUACUGUGGUGGAAAGUUUUUUCGGUGUGGGAUGGGCCCGCGGCCUAUCAGCUUGUUGGUGGGGUAAUGGCCUACCAAGGCGGCGACGGGUAGCCGGCCUGAGAGGGUGGACGGCCACAUUGGGACUGAGACACGGCCCAGACUCCUACGGGGGGCAGCAGUGGGGAAUAUUGCACAAUGGGCGGAAGCCUGAUGCAGCGACGCCGCGUGGGGGAUGACGGCCUUCGGGUUGUAAACUCCUUUCACCAUCGACGAAGGGUUUCUGACGGUAGAUGGAGAAGAAGCACCGGCUAACUACGUG